rnacentral:rRNA from 1 species
UACGAAGGGUGCAAGCGUUACUCGGAAUUACUGGGCGUAAAGCGUGCGCAGGUGGUGAGUUAAGUCUGUCGUGAAAGCCCCGGGCUCAACCUGGGAAUGGCGAUGGAUACUGGCUCGCUAGAGUGCGGUAGAGGAGAGUGGAAUUCCCGGUGUAGCAGUGAAAUGCGUAGAGAUCGGGAGGAACAUCAGUUGCGAAGGCGGCUCUCUGGACCAGCACUGACACUGAGGCACGAAAGCGUGGGGAGCAAACAGG